AACCCAUGGUGUUGACAUUUCUGAAGAAGUUCUUUGAAAUGUUCCCAUGUUUCAUAUAAAGAUUCCCCAUCUUCUUGAAGAAAAUAGCUAAUUUCAAUCAUUAGUU
rfam:Helianthus annuus linkage group 15, whole genome shotgun sequence.